GGCCAGUCAUAAGGUAGUGAGUUAUCUCAAUUGAUUGUUCACAUCAGUUACAGGUCAAACUCCUUGCUCUACUCUUUCCCUUUUCUCGCUGCUGCACUGGACUAGUCUAAU
ensembl:misc_RNA Y_RNA Y RNA